AAUCCCAAGAUUGCGGAGGCUGUACGGCGUCUCUGAGGCACACUGCAGGCGCUAUGAACCAGAGCAAAGACUAACGUCGCCUCAUAUCAAAGCCGUGACCUCCGAUUUGCUUGGGGCUAUUUCAGCAAGUCCAGAUUUACUGCUGAGAAUGACGACAUUGUUUCUGCCCGUAAGACGUGUUAUGAGUCGGUACGCCGGAGUUUCAGAUACAAACAACCUGAACUCGCAUCGCAGGCGGAAAAUGCGAAAAGUUUAGCUCGGAGUCGAUCCAGAAGAAAAAUGUUGCUGGAAGCGAGACGAAGUGUGUUGGCUGAGGAUGAGAUGGACAUUUGGAAGUGCGCCACCAUAGAUCUCAUAUCUGAUGAGGAAUACGGCAUUGUUGGCGGGGUGUCUGGAUGGAUUGUGCGGCCACCGCCCUCUCGCAGCCUGGAACUCUCCGAGCUCUGUGCCACGCUGCAAUCCAGAUUAGAGGCGAUACCAAAGUACCGGGCAACUCACCAUAUACGCGUGAGACU